GUCGGAAAUACGUCAUAAUCUUUGCCGCGAACAUCUAUCAUUUUAGUUGGGGGAAAAUAAACUUUCGUUAUGAAACGAAAACAAUGGCAAGGGUUGUUGUGUCUUUAAGUGAUUUUUAAUAUAUAUGUUUUGUAAGAUGGUUUUGUUAUUUUCAAUCAACUCUGGUGACUAAGAUGGUUUUGUGGUUUUAAACGCACAAGUCAGACAACUUGUGUUUUUAAAACAAAAAAAACUAGAGCCUAAUGUCAUGUGAAAAACUUUUUGCAUCUAGCCAAAAUAAUUAUAAGCAUAUAAUGCUUCAUAAUUAUCUAUAGCCUCAAAAGAAAAUAUUAUAAGACUUUUUAAUAAAUAAUUAUAAACGUCAUGGUAUUGAACUCAUGGCCAUUCCGUUUGAUCAUCUUUCCAAGUAUUUGCAAGGAACUUGUAUAGACAUCGGUUGAUUUCAAGGAUUGCAAAUUUAAUUAUAUACCUUUUUGCGGCGUUAAAAUCUAAUAACUCAAAGUAUUCGUAAACCGAUAUUUCUUUUUUUAAACUCUUUAAAUCACUUUUUCGUAAUAAUUGUCCUGCUUUAUUAACUCAACUAAUCAUUUGUUCUCCCCCAUCCAAGAUGGUAACAACUUGCGCUAUUGUUUUUUUGCAUAACCACGUGACUUUCUGACUGCGAGGAUAUUUCAUCUUUACAUAAGCUGAUUUUAUUAUAGGCCGUGGAUAGAAUACCGAAAGUUUUUAUAUAAACUCUCUAUAUAAAAAUGAGAUUUGUUUUUACACGUGACCUUUAGCAAUCUAUGAACUCGCUAUUAAAAGUUAAAACUUUCGGUACUCUAUCCACUGCGUUUAUUAUAUUUUAUUACAAUGUAAUAUUAAUAUGUAAUUUAUAUGUAAUUUACAUAUAAAAUAAAAACUUUUCUUCUUGAGAAUGUUUUAAUGACAAUGAUAAGGAUUCUUAAAGGUAUUGGCAGGCUGUACCUGACGACUUACCUUCCUGCAAUGAAAUUAAAAGAACAAAAACUUUCAAUAUUGAUUAGUCUAUUAAAAUUUUAUUGUCAUUUUUACAUGGUUUCUACUAACUAUAAUUGUAAGUGUAAAAACAUGCGCAAACUGGCAA